rnacentral:rRNA from 1 species
UACGUAGGGGGCAAGCGUUGUCCGGAAUCAUUGGGCGUAAAGCGCGUGUAGGCGGUUCGGUAAGUCGGCUGUGAAGGUCCAGGGCUCAACCCUGGGAUGCCGGUCGAUACUGCCGGACUAGAGUUCGGAAGAGGCGAGUGGAAUUCCCGGUGUAGCGGUGAAAUGCGCAGAUAUCGGGAGGAACACCAAUGGCGAAGGCAGCUCGCUGGGACGUUACUGACGCUGAGACGCGAAAGCGUGGGGAGCAAACGGG